rnacentral:rRNA from 1 species
AGAGUUUGAUCCUGGCUCAGAUUGAACGCUGGCGGCAGGCCUAACACAUGCAAGUCGAGCGGUAACAGGAAGGAAGCUUGCUUUCUUUGCUGACGAGCGGCGGACGGGUGAGUAAUGCCUGGGAAAUUGCCCUGAUGUGGGGGAUAACCAUUGGAAACGAUGGCUAAUACCGCAUGAUGCCUACGGGCCAAAGAGGGGGACCUUCGGGCCUCUCGCGUCAGGAUAUGCCCAGGUGGGAUUAGCUAGUUGGUGAGGUAAUGGCUCACCAAGGCGACGAUCCCUAGCUGGUCUGAGAGGAUGAUCAGCCACACUGGAACUGAGACACGGUCCAGACUCCUACGGGAGGCAGCAGUGGGGAAUAUUGCACAAUGGGCGCAAGCCUGAUGCAGCCAUGCCGCGUGUAUGAAGAAGGCCUUCGGGUUGUAAAGUACUUUCAGUCGUGAGGAAGGGGGUAUCGUUAAUAGCGGUAUUCUUUGACGUUAGCGACAGAAGAAGCACCGGCUAACUCCGUGCCAGCAGCCGCGGUAAUACGGAGGGUGCGAGCGUUAAUCGGAAUUACUGGGCGUAAAGCGCAUGCAGGUGGUUUGUUAAGUCAGAUGUGAAAGCCCGGGGCUCAACCUCGGAGUUGCAUUUGAAACUGGCAGGCUAGAGUACUGUAGAGGGGGGUAGAAUUUCAGGUGUAGCGGUGAAAUGCGUAAAGAUCUGAAGGAAUACCGGUGGCGAAGGCGGCCCCCUGGACAGAUACUGACACUCANAUGCGAAGGCGUGGGGAGCAAACAGGAUUAGAUACCCUGGUANUCCACGCUGUAAACGAUGUCUACUUGGANG